UACGAGGGGUGCAAGCGUUAUUCGGAAUUAUUGGGCGUAAAGGGUGCGUAGGCGGCGUACUAAGUCAACUGUUAAAUUCCUCGGCCUAACCGAGGUUCUGCGGUAGAUACUGGUAUGCUAGAGGGUGGAAGAGAGAAGUGGAAUUCCCGGUGUAGUGGUGAAAUGCGUAGAGAUCGGGAGGAACACCUGUGGCGAAGGCGGCCCCCUGGGCCGGCCCUGACACUGAGACGCGAAGGCGUGGGGAGCGAACGGG
rnacentral:rRNA from 1 species